UACGGGGGGGGCAAGCGUUGUUCGGAAUUACUGGGCGUAAAGGGCUCGUAGGUGGCCAACUAAGUCGGACGUGAAAUCCCUCGGCUUAACCGGGGAACUGCGUCCGAUACUGGAUGGCUUGAGUUUGGGAGAGGGAUGCGGAAUUCCAGGUGUAGCGGUGAAAUGCGUAGAUAUCUGGAGGAACACCGGUGGCGAAGGCGGCAUCCUGGACCGGCAUUGACGCUGAGGAGCGAAAGCCAGGGGAGCAAACGGG
rnacentral:rRNA from 1 species